ACACACACACACACACACACACACGUAGUGAAAACCCCGGCUUAAGUGUGUCGGGUAUUACAGUUUAUAUUCUUUUCUUGUGAGUUUGUGUUCGAUCGUCGUUUGUGUCGAGGCGUGUUCCCUUCUCUUACCCCUUUCGUCCGCCUGAUGAGUCAUGGGUACUGUGCGGGGGAUUCACACUGUAACUCAUAUAUACUGGAACUCACACUGGAACUCAUACUGGAACUCACACUAGAACUCAUAUUGAAACUCACACUGGAACUCAUACUGGAACUCACACUGGAACUCAUAUUGAAACUCACACUGGAACUCAUAUUGAAACUCACACUGGAACUCAUACUGGAACUCACACUGGAACUCAUGUUGAAACUCACACUGGAACUCAUACUGGGACUCACACUAAGACUCACACUGGAACUCAUACUGGGACUCACACUAGGACUCACACUGGAACUCAUACCGGGACUCACACUAAGACUCACACUGGAACUCAUACUGGGACUCACACUGGGCCUCGAGUAUACUGCCAUGUCUUGCUGAGCUGAGUAGGACAUGACGGGCUGGACUUUAUCCCCCCCCCCCCCCUACUCCCCGUGCCCUUUCCCUGCCGCUCCACACAACCACCUCCACCGCCAAGACAUCACCACCAGGACGCCUUCAACACCAACACCCUGCUAACGUAUCCACCACCGUCACCACCACCAUCGCUGCCAUCGUGUCCACCACCACCGUCACUUGUUAAGUGACGCAGAGGACCUGGCACCCCCAUCCUGCCUUACCUUGCCUUGCUUUGCCUUGCCCUGCCCUGCCUCACUCUCCCUGCCGUCUCCCUCCCCCAUGCCACGUCCCCUUCUUUCCCGGCCAGGGAGCAGCGAGCACAUUUCUCAGCCGCUGGCCCGAGGCGGCGCGCGGCUCGUCUUCCCGUCCACAGCAGCCAGAGAGCUGCGUGGCGGAGCGGAAGAUUCAAUGGCGUCCUGGUUACGAAGGCUGCCGAUAGAUGUCUCUGACGUAACACCCGGCUGGGGUAGGAUUGCCUCUCACCUUCAGCACGAGAUACAAAGAAAACUGGACUGCUUAACUGCUAUUUGAAGACCACAUUGACAGAGAAAAAGUGAAAUGGGUUCCGUAUGAGUUCUGGAAAAAAAAGGGAAAAGCAGCGGACAACCACCCAAGAAAAGGCAAGAGGAAGUAAAAGGGACGCCGUUGCAAGGCUAACUCCACGACCUUAAAGUGAACUGAACUGAACUGAGCGACGCGGACCAACACACAGGCUGAGCCGAGCAAUAGCCGACUAACGGGCAGCCAGUCCCUCGGUCCUUUGGAGGCGCCAUUCUCCCCGCCGUACCUUACAUUACCGAGGCGUCUUAAUUCUGGAUUCCCUUUGAAGAAAUGAAUAUUGCAUCCACGUGAAGAGCCUGGAAACCUGCAAGCUCGCCUGACACAAGCAUGGGCGGGGCUUUCUCAUGGUGAAAGAUCGGCUCCUUGUUGGCUCCACCUCCACAAGCCAGUCACGCUCCAGCCGCCCGCCCUCGCCCCUUCCCUUCCUCCCUGCCCCUCUUCCUCCCUUUCUCCCCCGUCACUCCCUGCCUCUCUCCCUUCCUGUCUCCCUUACUCUCUUACUCUCUAUCUUCCUACCUCCCUGCAUCCCUCCCUCCCUCCCUUUCUUUCUCCCUGUUUCUUUCCCUCCCUUUCCCUCUUACUCUCCGUUCCUGCCUCCUUCCCUCCCACCCUUUCUCCCUGCCCC